rnacentral:misc_RNA from 1 species
AACGCACGAGACCUGCGGACCUGCGGAGGGAUCAUUACAGAGUUACUACUCCAAACCCAUUGUGAACCUUACCUAUGUUCUGUUGCCUCGGCGGCGUGGUCAGCGCCCCUCUGAAAAGAGGACGAUGCCCUCCCGCCGGCAGCACCAAACUCUUUGAAUUUUACAGCGGAUUACAGUUCUGAUUUGAAAACAAAAAACAAGUUAAAACUUUCAACAAUGGAUCUCUAGAUCGGAAGAGCA